GCUUUCGCAAAAUCGAAAGCCAGCCGUGACAAGCUGAAUAUUUUACAGGCGAACAGCACGCCAAAACGUGCUUUUU
rnacentral:sRNA from 2 species